UACGUAGGGUGCAAGCGUUAAUCGGAAUUACUGGGCGUAAAGCGUGCGCAGGCGGUUUUGUAAGUCUGUUGUGAAAUCCCCGGGCUCAACCUGGGAAUGGCAAUGGAGACUGCAAGGCUAGAGUUUGGCAGAGGGGGGUAGAAUUCCACGUGUAGCAGUGAAAUGCGUAGAUAUGUGGAGGAACACCGAUGGCGAAGGCAGCCCCCUGGGAUAACACUGACGCUCAUGCACGAAAGCGUGGGGAGCAAACAGG
rnacentral:rRNA from 1 species